AAAAAAAGAAAGCCACAUACCUCUGAGAAAUGAGAUGAAUGAGUUUCUCUCUUAUAGGCUGACCAGGACUCCCCUGCACCACAAUUCCAUGUGGACAAUGAUUCUGUUUGAUGUAUUUGAGCACUUGGUACAUGUUGGCAUCAGACUUGCCUGUUUAACCCCAUUGACCAUUUAUUUAUGUGCUAAUAAGUAACGUGUAAUUAAUCUGGUGUGUUCCAAACAGACAUUUGAGUGUUUCUUUAGGAUUUGGUUCGAAAAUCUUACAUUAUGGGUGUAAUAGAAACUUCUAUUUCUUGUUAUCGAUUUGGCUAGGUUAUUUUACUGUGCUUGUAAUUUACCG